AAUCCAUAGGUUAAUGAGGCGAACCGGGGGAACUGAAACAUCUAAGUACCCCGAGGAAAAGAAAUCAACCGAGAUUCCCCCAGUAGCGGCGAGCGAACGGGGAGGAGCCCAGAGCCUGAAUCAGCAUGUGUGUUAGUGGAAGCGUCUGGAAAGGCGCGCGAUACAGGGUGACAGCCCCGUACACAAAAGCGCAUGUGCUGUGAGCUCGAUGAGUAGGGCGGGACACGUGGUAUCCUGUCUGAAUAUGGGGGGACCAUCCUCCAAGGCUAAAUACUCCUGACUGACCGAUAGUGAACCAGUACCGUGAGGGAAAGGCGAAAAGAACCCCGGCGAGGGGAGUGAAAAAGAACCUGAAACCGUGUACGUACAAGCAGUGGGAGCACCCUUUGGGUGUGACUGCGUACCUUUUGUAUAAUGGGUCAGCGACUUAUAUUCUGUAGCAAGGUUAACCGAAUAGGGGAGCCGGAGGGAAACCGAGUCUUAACCGGGCGUUAAGUUGCAGGGUAUAGACCCGAAACCCGGUGAUCUAGCCAUGGGCAGGUUGAAGGUUGGGUAACACUAACUGGAGGACCGAACCGACUAAUGUUGAAAAAUUAGCGGAUGACCUGUGGCUGGGGGUGAAAGGCCAAUCAAACCGGGAGAUAGCUGGUUCUCCCCGAAAGCUAUUUAGGUAGCGCCUCGUGAAUUCAUCUCCGGGGGUAGAGCACUGUUUCGGCUAGGGGGCCAUCCCGGCUUACCAACCCGAUGCAAACUGCGAAUACCGGAGAAUGUUAUCACGGGAGACACACGGCGGGUGCUAACGUCCGUCGUGAAGAGGGAAACAACCCAGACCGCCAGCUAAGGUCCCAAAGUCAUGGUUAAGUGGGAAACGAUGUGGGAAGGCCCAGACAGCCAGGAUGUUGGCUUAGAAGCAGCCAUCAUUUAAAGAAAGCGUAAUAGCUCACUGGUCGAGUCGGCCUGCGCGGAAGAUGUAACGGGGCUAAACCAUGCACCGAAGCUGCGGCAGCGACACUGUGUGUUGUUGGGUAGGGGAGCGUUCUGUAAGCCUGUGAAGGUGUGUCGUGAGGCAUGCUGGAGGUAUCAGAAGUGCGAAUGCUGACAUAAGUAACGAUAAAGCGGGUGAAAAGCCCGCUCGCCGGAAGACCAAGGGUUCCUGUCCAACGUUAAUCGGGGCAGGGUGAGUCGACCCCUAAGGCGAGGCCGAAAGGCGUAGUCGAUGGGAAACGGGUUAAUAUUCCCGUACUUGGUGUUACUGCGAAGG
rnacentral:rRNA from 1 species